rnacentral:tRNA from 1 species
GCCGAGGUGGUGGAAUUGGUAGACACGCUAGCUUCAGGAGCUAGUGAGAGCAAUCUCAUAGGAGUUCAAAUCUCCUCCUCGGCA